UUUGGCAAAUCUCAGGAAACCACUGGGCGGCUACUUGGGGGCAGGCGAGCUUGAUUGCUUCAGAGUGCAGAGUUACCUUGACAUAAGUUUAAUGGCUGGAGACCAACCUCCUAAAACAGGGAAAGAAGUGUAAUCAGCCUCAGGGAUUGUUGUCUUUACUCACCUAUUUUAAG